CUCUUUGGCUAGCUCAUACGAGCUUUCAAUGUACCCAUUCAAAUAAUGGAUGAGCUGACAAGUAAAGAAAAAACUCAUAAGUAAUAAAUAAUUAUACAAAAAGUGCUAAAUGAGAAAAUCCUAGCAUACUCAGAUGAGGCAAUCUACGGCUCCUCUCCUCAUCUCCCUCCGAGGAAUACUCAGCAGUUCGUUUGCGUUGCCC
rnacentral:lncRNA from 1 species